UGGAAAAUUAUGUCAUAAGGAAAAUUCUACACUUCACAUUUUUCCAUCAUUUCAAAACCAUCAAAGCAAAAACCAUCCAACUUCUACACUCUUUCUUUCCAAUUGACCAAACCAAGAAGAGCACCAUAUUCAUAAUUUUAAAUCUCAAACAUAAGGAAAUCUUGCUAAUAUGGAGAAAGAUAGAUGAUUCAAAAAGGGUUCAAGACUUGAAGAAGCACUAGGAACCUUGGAUAAUCUUAUUUUCUCAUCUUCAUCAAUAGUUUUCUAGCAAAAAUUGUCGAGAAACGAACCGCGAACUAGGAAUCGAAUAGAGAUUUGCACGGAACGCAAAUCUGUCGAGAAACGAACCGCGAACAAGGAAUCGAAUAGAGAUUUGCACGGAACGCAAAUCUGAGAUUAGUGGACGGCUUUGGAAAAAUAUGUUCAAGUGGUUAUCAAGAACGCAAGCUUUUGUGAUGUCAUCCGUUUUCGAUUGUUAUGUUUUGAACUUUGAAUAAUGUAGUUAAAGUUGGUGUUGUUUCAAGUUUCAAACAAGACAUAUGUAAUGUAAACUAUGGUUUCGAAUCAAAUGUAUGGAUGAACAUCUUUUAUGUUUCAAAUAUGUUGUUUACU